rnacentral:lncRNA from 1 species
CAGAUAAGGCAAAGUUCCCCAAAUUCUGGUACUCUGGAUCCAUUCCACAUGCUGACCCCAGCCUGCCUGUUGACUGCAGCUUCACUCAGGCCAGUGCACCACCGCUUCACUGGGGGUGUUCCCGUGGCAUUCCACAAACUAACAAGGACACAGUGUGGCUUCAUAGCAUACCACAAUCCCAACAUGCCUGUUUGUCACAUACCAUUCAUGCUGGCUGGCAGUGUGUGUUCCACUGGGCCCUAGAAUUCUGCCACUCAAGCCACUUCGCCUUCUGCAGGGACAACUUGCUGACAAGUAGAGAUAAUAUCAUAUGACUUUUGAAUGCAAGUCAAAGGAAACACUUGUGCUUGCUCUGUGGAAACCCAGCUACACAUCAUACAGAGAGUAACAACUGGCAGGCCAAUACGAAUGUGCCAUUAUGGAAGAAGACUCUCCUGCAUCCUGAGAACCAUCAGAUUAAUUUGUAGGUUCGCUUGUGAUUUCAAUCAAAAUUCUACCCAUCCUUUAAUAAGAAAAAUGCAUCAGUGUUUGCCUGAACUCUGGGAAGAGAAAAGUACCCUGCAAAGGAGCCAGGGAAAGGUUUUGGUGGUCUGGUAAUUCCAUGCCAAUCCUUUGGGCCUACUGCAUCUUGAGAAGAUGUACAUCAUCGAUUUCUCUUCCACGAAUUUUUGUAUGGUAAUUGGGAAGACAGCAUACCUUUCUAACAAAUUUAGCAUCACAUCCAGUUUUUACAAUGUAUUUCUACAAAUGUGAACACAAAAUGCCUUGUAAAUCCUUUAUUUCUGAAUAUGUAGCUACUUAUUAUACUACGAUUUCUUUCUUUUGAUUGUUCUUAUUCAGG